rnacentral:rRNA from 1 species
UUGGUGGAUCAGUGGCGAACGGGUGAGUAACACGUGAGCAACCUGCCCUGGACUCUGGGAUAAGCGCUGGAAACGGCGUCUAAUACUGGAUAUGAGACGUGAUCGCAUGGUCGUGUUUGGAAAGAUUUUUCGGUCUGGGAUGGGCUCGCGGCCUAUCAGCUUGUUGGUGAGGUAAUGGCUCACCAAGGCGUCGACGGGUAGCCGGCCUGAGAGGGUGACCGGCCACACUGGGACUGAGACACGGCCCAGACUCCUACGGGAGGCAGCAGUGGGGAAUAUUGCACAAUGGGCGGAAGCCUGAUGCAGCAACGCCGCGUGAGGGAUGACGGCCUUCGGGUUGUAAACCUCUUUUAGCAGGGAAGAAGCGUAAGUGACGGUACCUGCAGAAAAAGCGCCGGCUAACUACGUGCCAGCAGCCGCGGUAAUACGUAGGGCGCAAGCGUUAUCCGGAAUUAUUGGGCGUAAAGAGCUCGUAGGCGGUUUGUCGCGUCUGCUGUGAAAUCCCGAGGCUCAACCUCGGGCCUGCAGUGGGUACGGGCAGACUAGAGUGCGGUAGGGGAGAUUGGAAUUCCUGGUGUAGCGGUGGAAUGCGCAGAUAUCAGGAGGAACACCGAUGGCGAAGGCAGAUCUCUGGGCCGUAACUGACGCUGAGGAGCGAAAGGGUGGGGAGCAAACAGGCUUAGAUACCCUGGUAGUCCACCCCGUAAACGUUGGGAACUAGUUGUGGGGACCAUUCCACGGUUUCCGUGACGCAGCUAACGCAUUAAGUUCCCCGCCUGGGGAGUACGGCCGCAAGGCUAAAACUCAAAGGAAUUGACGGGGACCCGCACAAGCGGCGGAGCAUGCGGAUUAAUUCGAUGCAACGCGAAGAACCUUACCAAGGCUUGACAUAUACGAGAACGGGCCAGAAAUGGUCAACUCUUUGGACACUCGUAAACAGGUGGUGCAUGGUUGUCGUCAGCUCGUGUCGUGAGAUGUUGGGUUAAGUCCCGCAACGAGCGCAACCCUCGUUCUAUGUUGCCAGCACGUAAUGGUGGGAACUCAUGGGAUACUGCCGGGGUCAACUCGGAGGAAGGUGGGGAUGACGUCAAAUCAUCAUGCCCCUUAUGUCUUGGGCUUCACGCAUGCUACAAUGGCCGGUACAAAGGGCUGCAAUACCGUGAGGUGGAGCGAAUCCCAAAAAGCCGGUCCCAGUUCGGAUUGAGGUCUGCAACUCGACCUCAUGAAGUCGGAGUCGCUAGUAAUCGCAGAUCAGCAACGCUGCGGUGAAUACGUUCCCGGGUCUUGUACACACCGCCCG